GACGAACGCUGGCGGCGUGCUUAACACAUGCAAGUCGAACGCUGAAGCUCAGCUUUUGUUGGGUGGAUGAGUGGCGAACGGGUGAGUAACACGUGAGUAACCUGCCCCCUUCUUUGGGAUAACGCCCGGAAACGGGUGCUAAUACUGGAUAUUCACUGGUCUUCGCAUGGGGGUUGGUGGAAAGGGUUUUUCUGGUGGGGGAUGGGCUCGCGGCCUAUCAGCUUGUUGGUGGGGUGAUGGCCUACCAAGGCUUUGACGGGUAGCCGGCCUGAGAGGGUGACCGGUCACAUUGGGACUGAGAUACGGCCCAGUCUCCUACGGGAGGCAGCAGUGGGGAAUAAUGCACAAUGGGCGCAAGCCUGAUGCAGCGACGCCGCGUGAGGGAUGGAGGCCUUCGGGUUGUGAACCUCUUUCGCUCAUGGUCAAGCCGCAACAAUGGUUGUGGUGAGGGUAGUGGGUAAAGAAGCGCCGGCUAACUACGUG
rnacentral:rRNA from 1 species